rnacentral:rRNA from 1 species
AGUGAACGCUGGCGGCAGGCCUAACACAUGCAAGUCGAGCGGCAGCGGGUCGUAGCAAUACGAUGCCGGCGAGCGGCGGACGGGUGAGGAAUACAUCGGAAUCUACCCAGUCGUGGGGGAUAACGUAGGGAAACUUACGCUAAUACCGCAUACGACCUGAGGGUGAAAGCAGGGGACCGCAAGGCCUUGCGCGAUUGGAUGAGCCGAUGUCGGAUUAGCUAGUUGGUGAGGUAAAGGCUCACCAAGGCGACGAUCCGUACCUGGUCUGAGAGGAUGAUCAGCUAAACGGGAGCUGAGACACGGUCCAGACUCCUACGGGAGGCAGCAGUGGGGAAUAUUGGACAAUGGGCGCAAGCCUGAUCCAGCCAUGCCGCGUGUGUGAAGAAGGCCUUCGGGUUGUAAAGCACUUUUGUCCGGGAAGAAAUCUUCCGACCUAAUACGUCGGGAGGAUGACGGUACCGGAAGAAUAAGCACCGGCUAACUUCGUGCCAGCCGCCGCUGUAAAAC